ACCUCCCCACCCUUGUGUAUUAUUACUUUGUUGCUUUGGCGAGCUGCCUUCGGGCCUUGUAUGCUCGCCAGAGAAUACCAAAACUCUUUUUAUUAAUGUCGUCUGAGUACUAUAUAAUAGUUAAAACUUUCAACAACGGAUCUCUUGGUUCUGGCAUCGAUGAAGAACGCAGCGAAAUGCGAUAAGUAAUGUGAAUUGCAGAAUUCAGUGAAUCAUCGAAUCUUUGAACGCACAUUGCGCCCCUUGGUAUUCCGGGGGGCAUGCCUGUUCGAGCGUCAUUUCAACCCUCAAGCUUAGCUUGGUAUUGAGUCUAUGUCAGUAAUGGCAGGCUCUAAAAUCAGUGGCGGCGCCGCUGGGUCCUGAACGUAGUAAUAUCUCUCGUUACAGGUUCUCGGUGUGCUUCUGCCAAAACCCAAAUUUUUCUAUGGUUGACCUCGGAUCAGGUAGGGAUACCCGCUGAACUUAAGCAUAUCAAUAAGCGGAGGAA
rnacentral:rRNA from 1 species